rnacentral:rRNA from 1 species
GCACCACAAGAACGCGUGGAGCAUGUGGCUUAAUUUGACUCAACGCGGGAAAUCUUACCGGGUCCGGACACACUGAGGAUUGACAGGCAAUAUCUCAUGGUUAUUAACCCGGUUAUUACAUUUUGUUUAAUCGGUUAUUAAGCAUCAGUGUUAAAUAUGCUAGUCCUUUCAUGAUUAUGUGAUAGGUGGGCAUGGCCGUUCUUAGUUCGGGAGUGAUCUGCUGCUUAAUUGCGUUUCACUAAGGGCCCAUAAAUUCAAGGUAUGUUAGCUAUCGUCGCUCUAUGGACCCCUUAUACUCAUUUCGCUUUAAUUAGCGUUA